UCUCUCCUCAUUUCUUCAACACACCCACCGUCUCUCGAUCAACAAAAGGGCUGACCUUGAUAUGCACAUAACCAUAACCUGUUUGUAUAAAUGCCCAAGUGACUUGAAAAGGUUUCCUUAAAUUAUACAUCAAGUUGAAGUUACCCGAAGGUUCAGACCCUCAUUUUUUCUUGCUGGGGUUGAAGAUCAUUCAUUCAAUCAAAUCUGGCUAAAUAACAAGAGACGAAGAGAGAUCGGGUAAAACGGCCCGCCACCACCGUUUGGUGGUGGCGUACGACGGCAACCGCAAGAGAGAUGGAGAAAGAUUGGGGAGAGAGAAAAAGAAAUUUCCGGCCACAGUGGCGACAGCGACACCGCCAUGGGAGGAGCGAACGACGACAGAAAACAUCAGCAGCGGCGGUGGUAAACCCCUAACUCCUCAUUUCUUUAAACCUACUCAGAUUUCGUUUUUUCUCCGGUUAGUACCUUUCGUUUCAGGUGGUUGGGUGGUGGUCAAAAGUCGAUGAAGACGUGGUGGUGGUCCGACGGCGGCACUGCCGCCGGAGCCAUGCCUACGGACGUGGUGGUGGCCUUGUUUCAGUUUUGUCUGGCUCGGUUCGGUCAACAGAAGAGCGGAUUAUGGGAUCACAUCAGACUAGUUCGUAUGCGGCACAGACAUGGUUCGAUUCAGUGGGUCUCGAUUCAGUCUCAGGUCCGACGUGGUUCGGGUUGGGUUAACAACAGUGGUGGCGGUGUUAUACAACUCAGAUUAGGUUUGUUCGACACUGGGUUUUGUUCGAGUUCAGAUUUCGUUCGGGGUUAAACUCACGCGACUGAGCUCGAUUCGAUUCGACUUGAUACUAGCUUACGUUUAGAUAUAUUUAACGAGAAAUUUUAUAUAUAGUGGUUAUAUUUGUUGAAAA